CUCUGGGGUCUCAGGACUGCAAGAUACUCUCUGCUGCUGCCCACCUUGGUGCUUGGCAAAUGUGCUGUUGUACUCCUGGUGCAACCUUUUAAAAGGCACUGUAAAACGAAAGCAUCUUGGCUUGCUCUGCCAUUGACUCUUAGCUGCAUUUUAAAUUUGUUAUUCCUUGCAAAUUCAAGCUUAAAUGGUUUGCCUUGCAUACUGUGCAUUAGCUUGUUUUGAUUGCAUUUGUGCUCAAGAUACCAGGAUACAACCUCAACUCUGUUAAUGAUGAUAAAAUCAGGGCGCUCAGGUGGCAGUGGUGUGGGGGUGAAACCCCCCACCUAAUAUAUACUUUCCACCAUUUUGGGCAUCCAUACUUUUUUCUCAUUUCUUGCAGCGCACAAACGGACAUGCCCACCCUGACCCCUUGGUCUGAGAAGGCCCAUCAUCUGAGAAGGAACAGUCAGGAAGAUGGUCUUGAACAACUACGACAAGCAGCAGAAAACCAAGGUGUUAUCCCCCUGAGUACUGCUUGGAUUAUAAAAUUGGCAUUCCCAAUUUUAUAAGCGAGAUAAGAAAUGUCAAGUUAUCCUGGAUGCCAAAAGAAUAUGAAAAUAACUUAUGACUCCGCGGCCCUAUUGAAAAUCACACCAGCAACUAAACUGAUGGCAGAACUGUUUGAUCAUUUAAGCACAGACUCUUGUUCUUUGCAGGAAGGAGAGCAAACUUUACCAACCCUUUAUCCCUGACAAAAUGUUUACUGUGGUGUUGCAUAGCUGUGCCGGAGAUUUUUUAAGAAGCAAGUUCUUUCCGUGUGCACCUAGAAAGAGACAUCCUUCCCUCUGUGUCAAAGCUGAGAGGUUUCCUGGAGGUGUUACUUCAGAGGGCUGGGUGUCUGGCAAUAUGGAGGGCAAAGGUGGCGGGUCAGGUAGGGUGGAACCCCUGCCACCAAUGCUGGGCAGGGGUCUCCAGUGGGUGGGGAGGGAAAGGUGAGAGAGGGGUGCCCACCCAUAUGGAUGCGAGUCAGAUGUUAAUGGCUUGGGGUAAUCCACAUGGGUGAGCAGGGAGAGGGGUGCCAGCCUCUGCCCAAAUUGGGCUUAUGGUUUCGGGAGGGAGGGGGGCUGGGGAGGGGGCAUCAGCCGAAAGAAGCUUUUGGAGUGUUUUUUAGGCCUUUCCUCCAGGGUUAUUUUGUUCCCUCGGAUGCCCCCUUUCUCCACUUUUGGGGCUUCCUUCUUGGGCUUCUUUGGG
rnacentral:lncRNA from 1 species